GAAAUGCGAUAAGUAAUGUGAAUUGCAGAAUUCAGUGAAUCAUCGAAUCUUUGAACGCACAUUGCGCCUAUUAGUAUUCUAGUAGGCAUGCCUGUUCGAGCGUCAUUUCAACCCUCAAGCCCUGGUUGCUUGGUGUUGGGAGCUUGCUGUGAAACGCAACUCCUCAAAGCUAGCUGGCAGAGUCGGGAUGCACUCUAAGCGUAGUAAACUUGAUAGUCUCGCUUCUGCAGUUGUCCCGGCCGUCUUGCCAUAAAAGCCCAAACUUUUUUGUUUUCUAUGGUUGACCUCGGAUCAGGUAGGAAUACCCGCUGAACUUAAGCAUAUCAAUAAGCGGAGGACUGUCUCUUAUACCCACCAUCUCCCGAGCCCACGAGACGC
rnacentral:misc_RNA from 1 species